rnacentral:lncRNA from 1 species
AUUCAACAUUUAAGCACAACUCUCUUCCUCACCAAUCUCUCUCAUUCCUAACUUUUUCCCUUUUCUUUUUCUUUUGCAUUAAGCUCUUCUUCAUGCUUUUCUUCUUUUCUUUUCUUUUUCUCAUGAAUUUUUCUUUUCACAACAUUUGAGCUCAAUGCUUUUCACUUGCUUUUUCAAUUUUCCCCUGCACAACCCCAAACUUGAACCUUUUCAUCACAUGCAAUUAACCUCACCCCAACUCAAGGUAAAUAAUUUCAAGACAAGGGUUCACAUCCUGUUUAAGGCUAAGGUUCAAAAAGGGUAUAUAAUCUUUUCAAGCACUUUGGUUGAAAAUUUGGCUAGAGAAGGGUUUUCAAAAAUGGCCUUGAUCAUAUGACAUUUACAAGCAAUUCAAUCAAUCAUAAAGAUUAAGGCAAUAUCAUUCAUUUUUCCUGUGAACAAUGCAUGCAACAAUAAGAACUCCGGAGCUUAAAAUCUCACACACCUGCUUCCUCACACAAAAUUCAAUCAUGCAUCCUGCUUAGCAUCAUAACCACAAUCAUAAUUCAUCACACAUCUAUUUCACAGAAUAUCAACAUGCAUUGCAUCUCAAUUCUCAUCCACAUCAAAUAGUCAUCAAAGAGAUCCAUCAUGCACAUCAGUCAAUCAAACAUUUUCAGAACAAGUAGUAAAGCCAAGAGUACACAUUGAAAUUAAAAUUCAACAUAUUCUAGAAAUUUAAACUUGCAAAAGUGUAAGAAGAAAUCUAGGUUGCCUCCUAGUAGCGCUUGUUUAACGUCACAAGCCUGACCCAAACCUGUUUAGCACUUGUCAGUAAGUGCAAUUCCAUCCACCAC